GCGCUCGCUUCGGCAGCAUAUAUACUAAAUUUGGAACAAUACAGAGAGGAUUAGCAUGCCCCUGCACAAAGAUAAACCAAUCAGCUUACUUUGAACUCAAACCUAAUUUG